UACGUAGGGGGCAAGCGUUGUCCGGAUUCACUGGGCGUAAAGCGCGCGCAGGCGGCCAUCUACGUCUGGGGUGAAAGCCCGGAGCUCAACUCCGGGAUUGCCUUGGAUACGGGAUGGCUUGAGGAUCGGAGAGGCAAGGGGAAUUCCACGUGUAGCGGUGAAAUGCGUAGAGAUGUGGAGGAACACCUGUGGCGAAGGCGCCUUGCUGGCCGAUUUCUGACGCUGAGGCGCGAAAGCGUGGGGAGCAAACAGG
rnacentral:rRNA from 1 species